rnacentral:rRNA from 1 species
GACGAACGCUGGCGGCGUGCCUAAUACAUGCAAGUCGAACGCAGUGGGGACGGGUGAGUAACACGUGGGUAACCUCCAAUCAGAGGGGAUAACACUUGGAAACAGGUGCUAAACCGAUACUGAUGGAUGGACCCGCGGUGCAUUAGCUAGUUGGUGAGGUAACGGCUCACCAAGGCCACGAUGCAUAGCCGACCUGAGAUGUGGAUCCGCCAAAAUGGGACUGAGACAAGGCCCAGAAUCCUACGGGAGGCAGCAGGAGGGAAAUGUGGGCAAUGGACGAAAGUCUGACCGAGCAACGCCGCGGGAGUGAAGAAGGUUUUCUGAUCGUAAAACUCUGUUGUUAGAGAAGCGGUAUCUAACCAGAAAUCCACGGCUAACUACGUGCCAGCAGCCGCGGUAAUUC